rnacentral:misc_RNA from 1 species
AGCUUAUCUCCCAGCGUGGUCGGGCUGGUGUUUCUGGUUAACCCCACAUUGUACGCAUUGACUGCUCUUCUGUGGGGUCGACUAGGAGAUAGAUGGGGUCACACGAAGUUGCUUAUGCUUUUAGGAACGUCGGUCAACGUGAUUUGCUUCCUGUUCAUUGGUCCGGCGCCAUUUUUCCACAGUGAAACGCAACAUGGAUUUCCUGACGACUACACUACAUACGCACUAGUCUCGGGCAUUUUUAACGCAUUUUUCGCACUCGGUGCCUUCCUUGGACCGACCAUAGGCGGGAUCAUGGAUGACUAUAUGGAUUGAAGGGCAGCG